rnacentral:rRNA from 1 species
CCUACGGGGGGCAGCAGUGAGGAAUAUUGGUCAAUGGCCGGAAGGCUGAACCAGCCAUGCCGCGUGAAGGUCAGUGCCCUAUGGGCGUUAAACUUCUUUUGUGCGGGAGCAAUAAUGGUCACGUGUGCCCAGACGAGAGUACCGUACGAAUAAGCAUCGGCUAACUCCGUGCCAGCAGCCGCGGUAAUACUGGGGAUGCCAGCGUUAUCCGGAUUUAUUGGGUUUAAAGGGUGCAUAGGGUGGGAGGUAAGUCAGCGGGGAAAUGCCCCCGCUCAAAGGGGUGAAGUGCCAUUGAUACUGCCUUGCUGGAAUGCGGAUGCGGUGGGUGGAAUGUGUGGUGUAGCGGUGAAAUGCAUAGAUAUCACACAGAACACUGAUUGCGAAGGCAUCUCACGAAUCCGCGAUUGACGCUGAUGCACGAAAGCGUGGGUAUCAAACAGGAUUAGAUACCCUAGUAGUC